rnacentral:tRNA from 1 species
ACAGUGGUGUUUCAGUGGUAGAAUUUUUGCCUUCCAUGCAGGAGACCAGGGUUUGAUUCCCAGUCAAUGCA